CGUUAGCGGCGGGCUUAACACAUGCAAGUCGAACGCGAAAGUCCUUCGGGGCGAGUAGAGUGGCGCACGGGUGAGUAACACGUAGGUAAUCUACCCUCAGGAGGGGGACAACUGGCCGAAAGGGCAGCUAAUACCGCAUAAGACACCAGCGACUGCGGCCGUAGGUGUAAAAGGUGGCCUCUGCUUGCAAGCUACCACCUGAGGAUGAGCCUGCGGACCAUCAGCUUGUUGGUGGGGUAACGGCCUACCAAGGCAAAGACGGAUAGCUGGUCUGAGAGGACGAUCAGCCACACUGGCACUGGAACACGGGCCAGACUCCUACGGGAGGCAGCAGUGGGGAAUAUUGGACAAUGGGCGAAAGCCUGAUCCAGCCACGCCGCGUGAGUGAUGAAGGCCUUCGGGUUGUAAAGCUCUGUGGGGAGGGACGAAAAAGGUAGUCAAGAAACGGGCUGCCCUUGACGGUACCUCCUUAGCAAGCACCGGCUAACUCUGUGCCAGCAGCCGCGGUAAUACAGAGGGUGCGAACGUUGCUCGGAAUCACUGGGCGUAAAGCGCGUGUAGGCGGAUGAUCAAGUCAGGUGUGAAAUCCCUGGGCUCAACCUAGGAACUGCAUCUGAAACUGGCCAUCUUGAGUGUCGGAGAGGGAAGCGGAAU
rnacentral:rRNA from 1 species